GGGAAUAUAGCUCAAUUGGUAGAGUGCUUGCCUUGCAUGUAAAAAGCCCUGGUUUCAAUCCCCAGCACCA
rnacentral:tRNA from 1 species